rnacentral:rRNA from 1 species
AAUUCGAAGCAACGCGAAGAACCUUACCAGGCCUUGACAUGCAGAGAACUUUCCAGAGAUGGAUUGGUGCCUUCGGGAACUCUGACACAGGUGCUGCAUGGCUAUCGUCAGCUCGUGUCGUGAGAUGUUGGGUUAAGUCCCGUAACGAGCGCAACCCUUGUCCUUAGUUACCAGCACGUUAUGGUGGGCACUCUAAGGAGACUGCCGGUGACAAACCGGAGGAAGGUGGGGAUGACGUCAAGUCAUCAUGGCCCUUACGGCCUGGGCUACACACGUGCUACAAUGGUCGGUACAAAGGGUUGCCAAGCCGCGAGGUGGAGCUAAUCCCAUAAAACCGAUCGUAGUCCGGAUCGCAGUCUGCAACUCGACUGCGUGAAGUCGGAAUCGCUAGUAAUCGUGAAUCAGAAUGUCACGGUGAAUACGUUCCCGGGCCUU